rnacentral:rRNA from 1 species
GCCUACGGGACGCAGCAGUAGGGAAUUUUCGUCAAUGGGCGCAAGCCUGAACGAGCAAUGCCGCGUGAACGAGGAAGGUCUUCGGAUCGUAAAGUUCUGUUGAAGGGGAAAAAGAGCGGAGAGAGGAAAUGGUCUCCGAUUGAUAUUACCCUGUGAGAAAGUCACGGCUAACUACGUGCCAGCAGCCGCGGUAAUACGUAGGUGACAAGCGUUGUCCGGAUUUACUGGGUGUAAAGGGCGCGUAGGCGGGAUAGCAAGUCAGUCGUGAAAUGCCGAGGCUUAACCUCGGAG